rnacentral:rRNA from 1 species
GACGAACGCUGGCGGCGUGCCUAAUACAUGCAAGUAGAACGCUGAAGAGAGGAGCUUGCUCUUCUUGGAUGAGUUGCGAACGGGUGAGUAACGCGUAGGUAACCUGCCUUGUAGCGGGGGAUAACUAUUGGAAACGAUAGCUAAUACCGCAUAACAAUGGAUGACACAUGUCAUUUAUUUGAAAGGGGCAAUUGCUCCACUACAAGAUGGACCUGCGUUGUAUUAGCUAGUAGGUGAGGUAAUGGCUCACCUAGGCGACGAUACAUAGCCGACCUGAGAGGGUGAUCGGCCACACUGAGACUGAGACACGGCCCAGACUCCUACGGGAGGCAGCAGUAGGGGAUCUUCGGCAAUGGGGGCAACCCUGACCGAGCAACGCCGCGUGAGGGAAGAAGGUUUUCGGAUCGUAAAGCUCGGUUGUAAGUCAAGAACGGGUGUGAGAGUGGAAAGUUCACACUGUGACGGUAGCUUACCAGAAAGGGACGGCUAACUACGUG